rnacentral:lncRNA from 1 species
AAGGAAAGAUAAUUUUAUGGGGAAGAGGAUUUGCUUUUGUCUCUCCAGGUGACAAUCAGGUACCUGUGUGGGUGCCCACCAAACGUCUGAAGAUCUACCAUGAAUCACAGCAUCUAGUGGAUCCACCUGUACAGUGCAAAUUGAAGAGGUUUAAGGAUUGCUUUUAAGCCUCAAUUUGUGUUCUCUGUGCUUUUUGCCAGAAGGGGCCUGCUUCUCAUUAUCAAUGGAGACACAAACCAUGUAGGUGCCCUCAAGAUGUGUACAACCAUGGAACAGGGGACUGGAAGGACCCAUGGAUCCCAACCACGGACCAGGUUCACCAAGCCAUGCUGAGAAACUACUGGAGUGCCAGGGUUUUACCUAUGCUUAACUGAUCAAUGCUUUUUAACUGAACUCCUCUCUACCGUGAAUACAAGAGACCCUAAUAGGCAGGCAAGAGUAUCAUCACCCCUAUUCAGCAAGAAGAAGUUAUAGAAGAUGGACCUUCAUCCUCCUGAAACCGCUAACAUUAAAGGUUCUCUUGUAAAAGGGAAAGGGGAGAUAUGUAGGAAACGUUCAAACCAGAGCAACUCCAUUUUGAAUAAGGUCUAAGAAAAAUGAAGCUGGAUCACCAACCGGCAAUUAAGGGCUACACAGCCUGCAAUUGCCUUGCUCAAUUAAUUUUAAAAAAGGCCACCUUAUGCUAAUAAUAAUGACAGCUGUGGUGGUUUUUAUGAAAAAGAGAAGGGGGGCAUGUUGGGAGAAAAGCUGAGUGUUGGGAGAGAAGCUGAGGCAGGGCUUGCAUUUCUGCUAGACUUGCUGGCUCCUUGCUUCUAGCACUCCCAUUAUCUCAAGCAGCCAUAUGUUUCUCAUUCA